ensembl:lncRNA
CCCUGAUUUGCCUCCAUUUGCUCCCUUAGUUCAGAAGCCGAGACUUGAAAGCUGUCCUGUGGAGGAUAAAAGACACAUCAGCUGGCUGAACAUUUGUAAGAGCCUCAUAAAGCGACAUCUUCAGCAUGAAGCAGCUGACUGGAGCCAGACGCAGAAUUAUUUCAACACCUGUUGAAACAAGCUGUCUUGGGUCAGGUCCAACCUGUUGGUAACAGCUGGGUGCUGGAGCACAGAAUCAGCCAUGGCAGGGACCAGAAAUGCCACCAAAGUCAUUGCAAGGGACAGAGUUAAGGUCCCAGACUCCCUUCCUGGCCCAAAGCCUCACUUCAUCCUACACUAAGGCUGGAAGAGAAACAGUCAAACCUGAGAAAGCAAAGAUCUUGUGGAAUAACGUUUCCCUAGACACAGUAUCAAAGAAAGAGUUAAGUUCUCCAGCAUUCAAGUCUCGGUCCAAUCUUUAAGUGAGAGCAUUCGGGGCAUUUGUCUGAAAACCUUGGUGUACUUUGACAUCCAGCCGUGAAGAGAAUGGACUUAUUUUUUCCAGUCUUGGCAAGAACAGCACUCUUAAAUCAAAACGACUUAGUCAUAUUAUGAAAGCUGAGACCCUUGUGAGUUUAUAUUCCUUGCUGUGUUUGGGUAUUUGUGUGGGCCCGAGGCCAGGAGUAAGCAAAAGCUUUUAAGAAGAGAGGAGCGACUGUGCAUCGCUGAUUUGAACGGCAUUCCUGCCUCCUUCAGGCUUUGAGGACAGCCCUUGGCUUGACUUCCUGUCCCUGCCUCUACCUCUGGAACCUCACAGGUCACCACAAGUUCUGCAAAUGGCAUUCAGAAAGGGAAUCUCCACGUGCUGAGAGUGCCCUUACCAACAGUCCAGAAGCCCAGCAUGGCUUCCUCUUGAUUCAGGGGCUAGUAGGAAAGAGAUAGAAAGAAAAUCAGUUGUACGUGCACUGCGGAAAACUAUACAGAAACACAACAUUAAGCAAGGCACAUAAUGACUUAUGAAGCAAAGCACCUGCAUCCUUUUUGGUUCAAAUACAGAGACACUUUU